rnacentral:lncRNA from 1 species
AACUCCUGCUCUAGUGAUCUGCCCGCCUCUGCCUCCCGAAGUGUUCGGAUUACAGGUGUGAGCUACUGCACCCGGCAACAAGGACAUUUUUAUACAAGCUGAUAGGGCUGUGAAUUCCUGGUUGUAUGAGACAUGAAUUCCUGGUUGCUCCACUCCACCUUUCCAGUGAGUUAUGUGGGCCCUUAGUCUGUGCCUCUCCAUAUUGAUUUAUUUCCUUUAAUGCACAUAUGUUAAGGAACGAAAUUUUCCACUAUGGGCAUGUUUAGGCAAGCUCCCUUAGCAAGUACGCUUAUCCGCACAAAAUAUUUGGUAUAAACACCUGGGGGGUGGGUAAGAGGUUCUCCAGGGGACCCUUUCCUGACUGUCUCCCUAAAGCAAGUUGGCUGACUCCUUUCAUUCCUCCCUUCAGGAGUGGAGACCCCAAAUUCUGUUGGGGAAAGUGUACAACGACUGCUCUUAACUGCUUCCUGCUGACAAGGGGUGCUGUUUUGGGAAAGUGGCAGUUAAGGCUCCUCCUGAGGAUCUUGAGAUGACGUCAUACUGGAUGAUCCUAGUGCACCCUAAAUCCAAUAAGUGUUCUUAUGAAAGACAGAAGAGGAGAAGAUACAGGAAAUAGAAGAAGGCUACUUGAGGAUGGAAGCAGAGAUUGGAGUUAUGCAGCUACAAACCAAAGAAUGCCUUGAGCCACCAGCAGCUGAAAGAGCUAGUCAGCAAUACAACUGGGAUUUGAUAUCAGAUUCAUACGAUUCCGAAGACCCUGACCACCAAAUGCAAAAGGUACAUGGCAACAGCUGAUUGCAAUGAGAGAAAAACAACUAAUAAGGCAACAAGCAGGAUACUAAGAUAUUUUCCAAAAUGAAUAGCACUGAUUCUGUGAGGAAUGAACAUUGCCAAACAAGUGUUUUGUUUUGUUUUUCAACUCCUCUAAAAAAAUUCACAUAUAUGCAUGCCACUUUCCUGAAAAAUAUCUGCCUCAUAAUUGCCAUAAGAAACGGUAUGGACAACUCUUAAACAUUCUGAAAGUAGUCAGGGAUGGGGGAAAGCAUUUGCUGUUUUAGUCUGUUCCUGGUCUUAUAACAAAUACCACAAACUGGGUAAUUUAUGAUUACAGAAAUGUAUUUCUGAAAGUUCAGGAGUUGGGAAGUUCAAGAUUAUGGCACCAACAUAUUCAUUGUCUGAUGAGGGCCUGUUUCACAGAUGUCAUUUUGCAUGACUUAAUCACAUGGUAGGAAAAGCAAAGGGACAAAAUGGACAAAUGCCAUGUUGUCACAUGGCAGAAGAAAUGGAAGAGCCAGGAAGCUCUCAGAAGCUUCCUUAAUUAGGAUAUUAAUCUCAUUCAUGAGUGCAUAGCCAUCAUGACUUAAUUGCCUCCAAAGGCCCCACUUCCUCAUCACUUUGAGGAUUAAACUUAAACAUGAAUUUGGAGGAAAUAUAUCCAAACUCUAGGACUAGUUUAAAUGUAGCUAAAAAGGUUUCUUCAUUCUGUAAUCGUUAAUAUGCUAAUAUUUUUGUAAAUAUCCAAGAGGAAGCUAAAGCAUAUAAUAUUCCAAAAUUUAUUUCUGUUUGUGGAUAUUAUGUUUUCCUCUCAUUCUAUCUUAAGAAAUUAGUGUCCUCAAGAAACACUAUAUAGGAUAAUUGUCUUUCAAGUUCAUCAACUACCAGUUCUUGAUUCUUCAGUAGCUAAUCCUAGAUAGUAAUACUUAACAGAUUAUAAAAACUUGGGUGCUGCUAUAUAAAUGCGCUGAAACUCCCAGGGAACCAAACAUAAGGACUUAAAGAGAGAUGUAACUAGGGAUCAUAAUCAUGAAUUUCAGCUGCUUCUCUAUCUUUGUCAGUGAGCAAAUGACCAUACAAAAUAAGGUAUUCAAUUAUUAAUUCUGUGCCCAUAUCCCGGAAUUUUGCCCAAUAUAUUUGUAAGUUUAGAUAAAUAAGGCACUAAUGCCAGGGAUAUGUAGCAUUAGUUCUGGGUUUAUAAAGGGAUAUUCACAACCUCUUGCCAUCCACAGAAUUUAUCAGCCCAAAGUAAACUAUACUCGUUGGUUAAGGGCAACCUGAGACAUGUUUAAAACUGAGGUGGACUGAAGAGUCAACUAAUUGCAGGAAUCUUUUAUUUGGUUGAAAUGUUCAAACAAGUCCCACUCUGAAUUCUAUUAGAAGUCCAUCAUUGGCUUCUCUCUCUUUCUCACUGUCUUAAAUCAUGUAUUUUAUAACACUAUGAAGAAUGAAGUUCAAAAGAAUAAGCUAAAUUUAAUUAAUUAAAUUAUUUAUUUAUUUAUUUUGAGACAGAGUCUCACUCUGUCACCCAGGCCAGAGUUCAG